rnacentral:rRNA from 1 species
UACGUAGGGGGCAAGCGUUGUCCGGAUUUAUUGGGCGUAAAGAGCGUGUAGGCGGCCUGACAGGUCUGCUGUGAAAACUCGAGGCUCAACCUCGAGAUGUCGGCGGAAACCGUCUGGCUAGAGUCCGGAAGAGGAGAGUGGAAUUCCUGGUGUAGCGGUGAAAUGCGCAGAUAUCAGGAAGAACACCUAUGGCGAAAGCGGCUCACUGGACCAUUACUGACGCUGAUGCACGAAAGCUAGGGGAGCAAACAGG